rnacentral:lncRNA from 1 species
GGGUCUUCACCUAGUAUAUUUAAAUAAUUCAAACUACAAAUGACAAAGCUAUAUAGCAACUUAGAGUUUGUCAGAAUCUCUAGCGACAUGACGAUGAUAAACCAUUUCGACAACAAUCCAUACUAUGUGAUAUGAACAAUUCACAAAACUGCAAAUAAAUUUUGCAAGAAUUAAGAUUAUAGUGAUAUGAGCAGAACAAUACCUUGACCAAACUUUUU